AUUGAACGCUGGCGGCAUGCCUUACACAUGCAAGUCGAACGGUAACAGGUCUUCGGACGCUGACGAGUGGCGAACGGGUGAGUAAUACAUCGGAACGUGCCCGAUCGUGGGGGAUAACGGAGCGAAAGCUUUGCUAAUACCGCAUACGAUCUACGGAUGAAAGCAGGGGACCGCAAGGCCUUGCGCGGACGGAGCGGCCGAUGGCAGAUUAGGUAGUUGGUGGGAUAAAAGCUUACCAAGCCGACGAUCUGUAGCUGGUCUGAGAGGACGACCAGCCAGACUGGGACUGCGACACGGCCCAGACUCCUACGGGAGGCAGCAGUGGGGAAUUUUGGACAAUGGGCGCAAGCCUGAUUCAGCCAUGCCGCGUGCAGGAUGAAGGCCUUCGGGUUGUAAACUGCUUUUGUACGGAACGAAAAGACUCUUUCUAAUAAAGAGGGUCCAUGACGGUACCGUAAGAAUAAGCACCGGCUAACUACGUGCCGGCCGCCGCCGUAACAC
rnacentral:rRNA from 1 species